rnacentral:lncRNA from 1 species
ACUCCCUUAUAGUUUCUUCAUAGAGCUGCUGUUCACUAAACAAAAUGGCUAUCAAAGUUAUCUUCCUCCUGUUCGUCACUGUUCUCCUGGUUUCUACAAUGGUAAUUAACCAUAUCUACACUGGUUUUAUGCACUGAUUUUGUAAUUAUAUUGGCAAACUCUUAAUUUGACAUGCUUCUCUUUGUAGGUUUCAUCUCAGGACGAUGAUGGUAUCGACGAUCUCAAGGCAAAGAAGGUACAAAUUAAUUUUUUUUAAAUGAGGGCUUGUUGUUGGGCUCACUUCAUAUCUAACGUCAACGACUCAAAUCAUAUAUUUUUCAAGUUGCGUUUUAUAGAUUAUUUUGCAAAAUAUUAGCAAAAAAAUGUUUGAGGAGUUUAAUUGAGUUCGAAGAAAUUGACACUAAGUGUUCCAAGAAACAAUAAAGUUUCAUCACCACAAUCAAAUGAGUAAAUGAUUUCGGAUUGAAUUGAUAUUUUUGCAAAAAUGAUCUAUGAAUGAAGACAUAAAAAAUAAAUCGUUCGGAUCAUUGAAGCUCAAUGUAUGAUGAACACCACAACCAGUUCCUAGUUUUACUAAAAGUUGAGAAUCCCUUUGGAGUGUGUGUGUGUGUGUGUGUAUUGACCAUGUCUUAUGUUUAAAAAGUUGAUCAACAAUAUAAUUAGUAAAUAUAGUUCAAAUAAUAGUAGACUCAAACUAAAAAUAACUUACGCACCAAAAACUGAAUCAGAUCAUGUAUCUUGAAAUAAAUAAUUGGGUUUAGAUGUAGUUUUAGUUUUGUGAUGUAUUUGUGUUGCACUUCUCUAUGGAAACUAAUUAUUGGAGGAAUAUUGAGCAUUUAUUUAAUAUAUGGUUUCAGCCAUCACCUACGAAACCCAAGCCAUCACCAAAAGCACCCAAGUCGCCAUCAUCAAAAGGACCCAAAUCACCACCAAAAUCACCCCCCAAAUCACCCAAGUCACCGGCAAAGCCCGGCAAGUCGCCACCAGGUGCACCACCGUCAACUGAUGAUGAUACAUACUCUGAUGACAUUCCGGAGGAUG